rnacentral:rRNA from 1 species
CCUACGGGAGGCAGCAGUGAGGACUAUUGGUCAAUGGACGCAAGUCUGAACCAGCCAUGCCGCGUGCAGGAAGACGGCUCUCUGAGUUGUAAACUGCUUUUGUACGAGGGUAAACGCAGAUACGCGUAUCUGUCUGCAAGUAUCGUACGAAUAAGGAUCGGCUAACUCCGUGCCAGCAGCCGCGGUCAUCCGGAGGAUUCAAGCGUUAUCCGGAUUUAUUGGGUUUAAAGGGUGCGCAGGCGGUCGGAUAAGUUAGUGGUGAAAUCCCGAGGCUCAACUUCGGAAUUGCCUCUGAUACUGUCAGGCUAGAGAGUAGGAGAGGUAGGCGGAAUGUAUGGUGUAGCGGUGAAAUGCUUAGAGAUCAUACAGAACACCGAUUGCGAAGGCAGCUUACCGGGCUACAUCUGACGUUGAGGCACGAAAGCGUGGGGAGCAAACAGGAUUAGAGACCCGUGUAGUC